AUGAGGUCAUUUGGUGGGCUGUGGUCUGAUAUGACUGAUGUCUUUAUAAGAAGAGGAAGUUUGGACACAGGCAAGCACACGGGGAGAGUGCCAUUUAAACGUGAAGACGGGCAACAACCCAAAUGAGAGAAUGUGAUUGUAUUUGGAGAUGGAGCCUUUGAAGAUGUGAUGGAGGUAAAUUGAGCCACCAGGAUGUGCCCUAAUCCAAUCUGACUGUGCUUACAAGAAGAGGAAAUUUAGAAACAUAGAGAAACACCAGGGAUACAGGCACAGAGAAAGGACCGUGGGAGGACACAGCAAGAGGGCGGCCAUCUGCAAACCAGGGAGCAAGGCCUUAGAGGAAACCAGCCCUGCAGGCACCUUGAUCUUGGACUUCCAGCCUCCAGAACUGAUAGACCGGGGAAAUAUCAAGUCCCAGAGAACUGCUGCAUCCAGCACAUGCCACCCAGGUGGUGGGUUAGAAAGGGCGGAAUGAAGGGGGAAGACAGAGAGAAUGGAGAUGCCACUAUCCUGCAGCAACAGUGAGGUAAAAGUUAUAGGAAACAAAGAAGUAACCUUUUCUGGUACCUCAAUGCAUUGGACAUAGUUUUCAAAUCACUACGACAUGUGUGUGAAUUCUUCUGAGUUCUGUAAGGCUUUGUCCCCAGCUUUUGCCACAGGAAAGCUUCUUUGCAGUGACUCCAUCCCCUAUGCCCGUCCUUCUGGCAUCCUCGCUCCAUCCUAUGGUUGCUGUGGAGACGGCUCCAGCCCCUCAGGUCCUGUGUGUGCUGGAGGGACAUGGAGCCCUUCAGAUUUUGUAGGGUGAAGUGCCCUGAAGCCAAGGGAUUUUGCCCUGCCUGUCCUGCCCUCCUCUCUCUGCCAGCAUCAGCCUUGCCAAACUCUUCACCUAAGGCUGGCUUCCAGACAUGAGUAAGAAGAGAUGAGAUUUUGGGGCAAGGAAGACCCAGCUCGGAAACACACUUGUGAAUCUGGAUAUCUGUGUCUUAAAUAAUUUUGUGGUUUUUUUUCUUACUACUAAAUUCAUAUUCAUUGUGGAAGAUUUGGAAACUUUUGACAAGCCAAAAGAAGAAAGUAAAAAUCACUAGAUAAUCCUACCACCAAGAGACAGCCGCUGUUCAUAUUUUAGUUUACCAACUCACAUACGCAUUUUCCUACACAACUAACUCCCUAUUUAUGUGAUUGUCCACUUAGGACUUGUGAAUCUUUCCAUGUCAUUCACUUAAAAACAAGUAAACGUUGUAUUAUUAAAAUAGAGUUUAAGGCAAUAAACCAAAAUGUUAACA
rnacentral:lncRNA from 1 species